GGCCCUAUGGUGUAAUGGUAUGCAUUGCUGCUUAUGAUAUUGUCGACCUGUCUAGUCCAGCAGCUGGCUUGGGUUCAAUUCCCAAUAGGGUCA